rnacentral:lncRNA from 1 species
CUUGAAUUUUGUUGGCCAAGGAUGAGACAUGGGGUCUAUUCAUUUCUCUUCUAUUGGCAGGAUCCAGUUGGCAGAGCCUCAAUGCUUUUCUAUCCAUGGGCCAGGAUACUAUAGAAUCUUUGGCUUUGGCAUAAUCCACAGGGCAGCUCAUAAUAUCUCAACUUGAUCCCCUAUAGGGAGGAUGUUUUAGCAGCUUUUGUGUUGCUGUGACCAAAAUACCCAACAAGAACAACUUAAAGGAGGAAAAAGUUUAUUUGGGGUUCAGGGUUUCAGAAAUCUUAGUCCAUAGAUGUCUGACUGUUCCUCUGGGCCCAAGGUAAGGCAGCACAUCAUGGAGGAAGAUCCCAGUAGAGGAAAGCUGCUCAGCUCAUGGCAGAGUCAGGAAGCAGAGACAGGGAGGGAAGAGGAAUAGGCUACAGGGAAGAUACACCCUUCUGGGACAUGCUCCUGGUAACCCACCUCCAAACAUUUCUGCAUUAAUAAAGGAACUUUUGAGGGAUACUCAUAUUCAAACCAUAAGGAGUAGGGAGAGAGAGAGAGAGGAAAGAAGGAAGAAAAGGAGGGAGGAAAAGAAAAGUAAGAGGAAAGUAAAAGGGAAGAGGAGGAAAGGAGUGGAGAGGAGAAGAAAGGGGAAUUAGCCAGAAAGAAAUCAGACUUUGCAUAACUCAAAUUUUGGAAGUGAUAUCCCAAAACUUUUGCUGAUUUCUGUUCCUCAGAAGCUACAGGGCAGGAGCUACAGUCUUUAGGCACCAGGAGGCUGCAGAUACUAGGACAAUUGUGUGGUACCCAUCUCAUGAGAGGAGGCAGUUAGGCCAAUUCUAAAUGUCCUAGGGAGUUAUUAGAAGAUUUAUACGGGAGGAGGACAAUCUCUGAAUCUCAGUCACUUCACACUUCUUGUGGUGCAGAGUGGGAAACAUAACCAAGAGGGUAAAUGGCUUUCCCUAGAUCUCACUGGGACCCAGGUCUGGAUUGAAUUGUGUGUCACUCUUUGUCUCUCCCCUUCUAAUGACUAUUUCAUCUCUUAAGUUUGUGUGUCAAGGACUUAUGACUCCUGCCUUAGGGUUUCACAGGUAAUAUAGGUACUUAUGGGCACAUACACCUAACGAUACCCUUGGAAGCUUAUGCUAUAAUGACCCCCAGGGAGCAGGUGUGAAGACUGGGAAGGACCUGAGAGGCACAAUGAGUUGCCUAAGGUCACACACCUGGAAAGAACAAGGGGCUGGGUCUGAACUCAGGUGUACCCAGUACCCAAGCUCCCCAAAGCUUGGGUACUGGGUACACACAGGCCUGCCAGAGGGAAGGUGGGCUAGGCAUAAUAGUGUCCACUUAUACAUGUGUCAUGGGGAGAUGGGGGAACUAGCAUCCCAGGGAUUCUUUGGGGCAGUCUUGUGUCGAGAAGAGAAUCAGGUAAGGGGACCCCAAGAAGUAACCUCACUUCUUCGACAAUGGACCUAACAGAACUUGAAACCAAGCACCCACAUUGCAGAGCCAGCUCCAACUAGCUCACUCGUCAAGAUCUCUUAUAAAGUCUCCCAAAUCACCAAGGCUCAGGCCUCAGAAAACCACUGAGGGGAUGCCUCACCCAGAUUAAGAAACUGUGUCAGCCCUUGCCUGGAGUCUCAGAAGUGACACAGAACAACCCAGGAAAAGUCAGCACAGACCAGCCCACCACUCUAUUCCCUGCAACAGCCCCAGAGCCAUCCCAGGGAUGUGUGUGUGUGUAUGAUUAUGGACAAAAUGUUUUUGAUGCUAUUUUCACUUCACUAGUAAUGUGUCAUUUUGCAGUUUGCUACUAUUUACUUGUUAGAACUGUCCCUUCUUGGUCCUACCCUAGGAUGAAAACAAAUCAACCCCAACCCUGGUUGAACCUGUGAGAGUGGGGAUCCUGGAGAUAGGCAUGGUGGAGAAGCUUGCAAACCACUUGGUAUUUAACUGGAUCAAGGACCCCUUUUUCAUAUCCACCUUCCCACAUACCUCCUGAAGAUUCACCAUCACCUAGCAGGUGCUAGACUUGCUGUAUAAAAGGUGCCACCACCUCCAAACCCAGGAGAAUUUGCUCCCUCCUGACUGGGUCUUGGGAAAGCCCUGCAGUUCUCUGAACCCUAGUCAACCCUGUGGAAAUGGGUUUUCAUAGGAACACCAUUGUAGGGUGUUUUGAGGACUCUCCAAUUGGGAUGAGCCCUACAAGUGCUUGUGCCAGUCUAGCUAGCCCUGUGGAAUGUGCUCCCUGGGCUAUGGGCUUUUCUUUGUGACUGUCCCCUCCCCUGCUUGCUGAGGCUUAAGGCAGAGAGCUUCCCCAGUUGGAAAGAAGGUUGAGAACUCCCUCUGGGAGGGACCCCAACCUACAUGUAGCCAGAACAGUGAUCUCUGGGGUAUACUAAGAGGCCCUGAGCCAAUGAGAUAUCUGGGAAGGAGCUGGUUGACUUCAUUCUUUGCACAAACAUGAAGCACCUACUAUGUGUAGGCACAUUUCCAGGCACCUAGUGUAUCAUUCAGGGAGCAAUACUGUUGUAGAGACAGAAGAGGCCAGACACCAAGGGAGUAGCAGGAAGUGGAUUUAUUUAUUGAUUGCAACCAGGUUCAGAGGGAAAAGCUUUCACUGUAAUCAACCAAUCCCCCUGAACCCGAAGUUCAGGAAGUUUUAGAACUUUAUACCUAGCGUAUAGGGGGAGGGGGCUCAGAGGCUCACAAUCUACAGAAGUUUACAUGACAACUGGUUUUCUUUUUUAUUUUUUCAUUCUUCUUGGCUCCCAGCUCAACCCAGGUUUGACCAAAAUAACCCUAAGGACUUUCUCUUUCUUCUCUCUAUGAAAAUCAGUACCUGGGAAAAAGAGAGUUUGUUUUUAUUUUAUUUUGUUUUCUCUCACAAGCUGCCCUUCAAGGACCUAACUCUGAAAUACAAACACCUCUGUGAAGGCCUUGGGUUAGUUUUGCUUAUCACACUGUGUUUCUGUAGGCAUACCUCCUGCCUGAAAAUUCUUUUGCAGAAAGUCUGCUGACAGUCUAAGAAAGAUUAUGGUGGGGUCUCUGGAGAAGCUUAAUUAAGAUUUUCUGUGGAGGAGGGGGUGCCACUACAGUACAGAUAUACUUUCCACUUGCUCCUGGGUUUUCAUUUCAGUUGGGAAGUCAGUUCCACUAGCAUCCUGGCAGGUGUGGGGCACAGGACAUUUAAGGUGUCAC